rnacentral:rRNA from 1 species
GACGAACGCUGGCGGCGUGCCUAAUACAUGCAAGUUGAGCGCUGAAGGUUGGUACUUGUACCAACUGGAUGAGCAGCGAACGGGUGAGUAACGCGUGGGGAAUCUGCCUUUGAGCGGGGGGCAACAUUUGGAAACGAAUGCUAAUACCGCAUAAAAACUUUAAACACAAGUUUUAAGUUUGAAAGAUGCAAUUGCAUCACUCAAAGAUGAUCCCGCGUUGUAUUAGCUAGUCGGUGAGGUAAAGGCUCACCAAGGCGAUGAUACAUAGCCGACCUGAGAGGGUGAUCGGCCACAUUGGGACUGAGACACGGCCCAAACUCCUACGGGAGGCAGCAGUAGGGAAUCUUCGGCAAUGGACGAAAGUCUGACCGAGCAACGCCGCGUGAGUGAAGAAGGUUUUCGGAUCGUAAAACUCUGUUGGUAGAGAAGAACGUUGGUGAGAGUGGAAAGCUCAUCAAGUGACGGUAACUACCCAGAAAGGGACGGCUAACUACGU